GAACCCGUAGCUCAGUUGGCUAGAGCACUUGACUUUUAAUCAAGGGGUCCUGGGUUCGAGCCCCAGCGGGUUCACAA
rnacentral:tRNA from 1 species